AUCUGUCCAUGUGUUUUCGUUUCAUCUUACACCCACUUGAUGCCAUUGCAAGCCUGUGUUCACAAAGCAAGGAAUAUGACUGUGUGUUUAUAUUCCUUUCGGAUUGGAAGGGGAAACUGGCAAGCAAUUCCACCAUUGCAGAGCAAGGCAUCCUUCAAGUUCUUGUUCCUGCUAACGUGAGUUAAGUAUCCCACUUCCAUUCUUGCCAAUACCCACGAUAUAAAUUUUCACUACCCAACUAGGAAAAUUUAGUACCCAACAGCGCAAAUAUCAUCUUCUCCCAUUUCACAGAUACCCAACAAAAAACAUUCAAUACCCAAUAAGCCAAAACACAGUGUACGGCAAAACUUGUCGCGGCAGAUUGGAGCGUUGAGAGUCACUUCGGCUCGAAGUGGUAAUAACAUCUGAAGAUUUCUGAGGUGGGUUUUUCUUAUCAGGUAGUUAAAACAUCUGAAGAUUUCUGAGUUGGGUUUUUCUUGUCGGUCUUUAAAUACAUCUGUGGGCAUUUAAAUAUGGGUUCUAGACCUAGUUCUACUGGCUACUGGUGCUAUCAGUGCAAUCGUUUGAUUCGAUUGGCCUCAAAUAGGACGCCCUUGGUUUGCCCUCUUUGUACUGGUGAAUUUCUAGAGGAAGUCGAAGAGGGGCCUAGGGCUCAGCUGCUGGAGGCCAUUUCAUAUGAAGGGGACGCAGAUAGAAGGCCCUCUGCUGUUCAGUUAAUAGAGGCCGUAUCCAACUUGCUCAAUCAGUAUAAUGACCACAGAAGGGAAGAGGAUGGUGGUUUCAGGCCUGUGAUCUUUGUCAGAGGUGGUCAGAGGGGUAGGGACGAUAAUGGUGGUAAUGGUGGCGGUAUGGGGUUUAUAUUGGGCACUGGAUCAGGGAUUAGGGGUUUGCCUGCUAACAUUGGGGAUUACUUUGUGGGGUCUGAUUUUGAUCGCCUCAUUGAACAAUUGACACAGAAUGACAGGUGUGGACCGCCCCCUGCUCCUACAAGUGCUGUGGAUGCCAUGCCUACAGUUAGGGUAACUAGAGACCAUCUUCGAUCCAAUCCCAACUGCCCUGUUUGCACCGAACCAUUUGAGAUGGGUGGCAAUGUCAGAGAAAUGCCCUGCAAGCACAUUUUUCAUUCGGAGUGUAUUGUACCUUGGCUGACCCAGCAUAAUUCAUGUCCGAUUUGUCGUCAGGCGCUGCCGACUGAAGAGCCUGCUGAUAACAGACAGCAACAGCCUACUGAUAACAGACAGCAACAGCCUACUGAUAAUAGUCAUCAACAUCCUGCUGAUAAUAGACAGCAACAUCCUGCUGAUAAUGGACAGCAACAGCCUAGAUCAACGGCCAGAGGUGCCGCACCGGUUGAUGCCACAACUUCAGCUAUACCAGUUGCCGGACACGGCAUUAGGCUUGCUUUUAGAAGGCUAUGUUGCAGUGAUGGAUCAGGUGGACGGAAUGGCAAUUCAAGGAACUCAUCUGUUGCAAUUCGUUCUCUUGCAGGUGGGAGGGUUGCUAAUGCCAAUAAUAAUUCCAUCAUUAACCCAACCAGGGAUAACAGAGCUCAUCAUGGUAGUAGUGGACACAAUCAAGGCAGGCGCAGUUUCUUCAACUUUAAUUGGUGGCCUUUUCGAUCGUCAAACCCCAAUCCACAAGGUGGUUCAACUGAAUAAAAAGAAUUGCUGGAGCGCUUGUCUAUACCUACACAAUGGAAACGUUCUCACUGUUUUUAUAUGUGGGACAAUGACUCUGAAUGACAUGGUUUACAAGUAAUGGCUUCAAGAUUGCAUGGUUUAUUUGUGACACUGAAUGUUAAUCUUUUUGCCAAGAGGUGGACCAUGUGGCCCAUGGGUAUGAAAACGCUAUCAGCAAAUAUCUGGCCUGGGUUAAUAUGAGUAUGAAAACGCUAUCAGCAAAUAUCUGGCCUGGGUUAAUAUGAGUUUGAUUAAUAAUCAUAUCGACAUGGGCAUUCUAUUGGUACCAAGGAGUUAUAUUGGGGUUAAUGUAUGCGCGUCUAACUCCAAAUGGAGAUUUAGAAUUUUAGAUGCAUCAUCAACUGUUGCUGCUAUAUCAUGUUAUGUUUGAAUUUUGUUUAUCUUCUAAGUAUUUACUGGUACAAAUCAUCUGUUGUGGGUUCUAUUCUUUGUAAAAUAUAGGCUGUCAUUUGCUGAAUUCAAACUUGGAUUAAAAAUAAACAAGAGGGAGUUGAUUGGCAUUUACUAUUUGCAUGUGAAAAUUUUGAGUGGGUGACAAAUAAAUUUCAGCGUUAUCAGGCCAGUAAUUAAGUAUAGAAAUUGAGUUAUGGUGAUACUGUGACGUACAGUGAAAGUGUAGUUCAAAAAUUUAAACUGCUAUCUUGUUUAGCAAGUUUGUAUGCGAUGGUUUUAAUAUUGAACCUAUGAGCCAAUCGUACAAAGAUACAGAAUGGCAUGACACAACUUGUAAGCUAUGACCUUAUACUCUUUGCACUCUUUUGAGAAGAAACAUUAUGAUUUAAUAAAAUAUGUCAGCUGGCAUCUUUUCUUGUAGUUUCAA